GCAGAUGGCGGCGGCGCACGGCGCCUGAGCGGGCCGGGGCCAUGAGCGCCGCCCGGCCCCAGUUCAGCAUUGAUGAUGCCUUCGAGCUGUCCCUGGAGGACGCGGGCCCUGGGCCCGAGUCCAGCGGGGUCGCGCGCUUUGGGCCGCUGCACUUCGAGCGUCGGGCCCGGUUCGAGGUGGCUGACGAGGACAAGCAGUCCCGGCUGCGCUACCAGAACCUGGAGAACGAUGAGGAUGGAGCCCAGGCCUCUCCGGAGCCGGAUGGGGGAGUCAGCACCAGGUUAGGGCCAGGGAUUCCGGCCGAACUUCCAUCCGCAGCUCCCAGUGGUCCUUUAGCACCAUCAGCAGCGGCACCCAGCGCUCCUACAACACCUGCUGCAGGUGAGCCUGCCCGCCUGAGCCCCCAGCCAAGCAGCCCUGGCUCUGCCCCCACAGCCUCCUGCACCCCCUCCCUCCACCUCCUUCACAUUCACCCUGCUCUCCUGCCACGCAGCUGGACUCAACACCCUUUGAUCCAGAAGAACCGCCGAGUGGUGCUGGCCU
rnacentral:sRNA from 1 species